AUUGAACGCUGGCGGCAUGCCUUACACAUGCAAGUCGAACGCGAAAGGGGGCAACCCUGAGUAGAGUGGCGCACGGGUGAGCAAUACAUCGGAACAUACCCAGUAGUGGGGGACAACCAGUCGAAAGACUGGCUAAUACCGCAUACGACCUACGGGUGAAAGCGGGGGACCGUAAGGCCUCGCGCUAUUGGAUUGGCCGAUGUCUGAUUAGCUAGUUGGUGAGGUAACGGCUCACCAAGGCGACGAUCAGUAGCUGGUCUGAGAGGAUGAUCAGCCACACUGGGACUGAGACACGGCCCAGACUCCUACGGGAGGCAGCAGUGGGGAAUUUUGGACAAUGGGGGCAACCCUGAUCCAGCAAUGCCGCGUGAGUGAAGAAGGCCUUCGGGUUGUAAAGCUCUUUCGGCCGGGACGAAAUCGCUCUGGUGAAUAUCCAGGGUGGAUGACGGUACCGGAAUAAGAAGCACCGGCUAACUACGUGCCAGCAGCCGCCGUAA
rnacentral:rRNA from 1 species